CUCGAACCGGUGACUUUCAAACCCCGACACAGACUAGAUAGUGGGGCAGAUAACUGCAAAUUACAGGAGAAUCGUUCACUUGUGGAAACAAGCACCAAAAUUGGCACACAUGCUCCUUGGGCAUUGCUUUUUUGAUAAAAGCCGUUAGCCACCAAAAAUUUCAUGAUGGCGGCCAUUUUUCCUUUACUCCCACCAUAAUGAAACUUAACAUGGUGAAAGCAAAUAUGUAUACAAACAUUUUAUGUAUUACAAUUUUUAUUGACAAACAAAUUUAAGUAUGAAAAUGAGGUGUAAUCCUGGUCCAAAAAAUGAAUGGAGGUCAACGGAAGGUCGAGUUUGGAUGGCCAGUGGAACUGCCUGAUGAGUCGGAUCCACACCAAAAUUGUACGCGUUUUAAAUUGGACCAGGGUACACCCCUCCAGUGAGUUUUACUGCAGUAAAGUGGAACAAAUAAAACUAAUGGGGGCAAGUGCUGAGUUGGUAAGGUUGUGCUCUGAUUAAUUGCAAUUGUCAUUUGUUUCAUUGCUUUAGGAUUUCACAGAAAAGUUAUGCAGAUGCUUGUGGAGAUCCGAGACAUGUUGAAGGAGCUGAAGGUCAUUCAAGCAUAGCCGCAGGACACAGCUCUUCCUGACAAGGCUACAACAGUUGAAGAACUUAAAAGUCUUGACGAGUCGCUGAACUCGGUGGAGGAAAGACAAAAACUGAUUCAACGCUUGGCAAUGGUAGACAGAGGAACGAGUAUGGAAACCAAUGUCAAAUAGGUCAUGGACAAGUUGAUGACGCAAGAAGUCCAGGCGGAGUUCAACUUAUGUGGAAGGGGACCUACAAAGAAGCUAGCUUUAUAUAAUGCUGUUUUAUAUGCGCAGUUUAUAGUCAUUAUUUGCACUGUUUAAAGAAUUCUAAAGAGUAAAUUUGUGACCUACAUU